rnacentral:rRNA from 1 species
GAUGAACGCUGGCGGCGUGCCUAAUACAUGCAAGUCGAGCGAACAGACGAGGAGCUUGCUCCUCUGAUGUUAGCGGCGGACGGGUGAGUAACACGUGGAUAACCUACCUAUAAGACUGGGAUAACUUCGGGAAACCGGAGCUAAUACCGGAUAACAUGUUGAACCGCAUGGUUCAACAGUGAAAGACGGUCUUGCUGUCACUUAUAGCUGGAUCCGCGCCGCAUUAGCUAGUUGGUAAGGUAACGGCUUACCAAGGCAACGAUGCGUAGCCGACCUGAGAGGGUGAUCGGCCACACUGGAACUGAGACACGGUCCAGACUCCUACGGGAGGCAGCAGUAGGGAAUCUUCCGCAAUGGGCGAAAGCCUGACGGAGCAACGCCGCGUGAGUGAAGAAGGUCUUCGGAUCGUAAAACUCUGUUAUUAGGGAAGAACAAAUGUGUAAGUAACUAUGCACGUCUUGACGGUACCUAAUCAGAAAGCCACGGCUAACUACGUG